AAAAAUGGGAAGUCCAAGAAUGUUUUGGGCUUGAAACUUACAUAGAUCUGGGAGUGAAAUAAUAUCAUUAGGAUACCAUCUCCCAGUCUUAAUAUGUCAGCUCUGAUUUCCUCUCUUUUGGCUUCAUCCUUAGCCAGAUUUUCUGAAAUUGUGACCAAAAGGGCUUAAAGCAGUUCUCAUAUUAUCUUCACAGUGUGUUCUUACUGUAAAGAACAUGCCUCUUCUCAGUUGGCUUCCCAUUACUGUGAACAAGGAAAUAAAGUCAUCUCUUUGACAAGAGAUGACUCUUGUGGUUGAUUACGCAUGUCAUGGAUAGGCAGAGGGAACAGAUUAUAAGAAUUCCUUGCAAUAGCUUCACUUUAAAAAUGAAAAAUUUCAUUAAUAUAAGAGUAAAAGGGAGAACAUUUUGAAGAGGCCAAGCUAUCGCCAUCACUGUCUGUUACAGAGCUUAUCAAAAGUUUUAAGUAUAGGGUUUUUAGACGCCUUCAUCACUAUAGCUCUGUGAGAGACAGGGUUUUUCAAUACUGUAUAUCCAGUGCCUAGUACAACCUGUGAUUUCUAUCAAGAAGUAAACAAGUAUUUGUUUACGUAAUGGUUCCAUUUUAUCUUAAUGUAGAUUCUUUUUAAGUUUUUCAAGAGGAACCUGAGAUUCAGAGGUUUUGAAACCCAUCUAUAGUCAUAAGAUUGUACACUGUGACCUGAUAGAACAUACAGAUAUUUAUUCUAAAAAGUUACUGUUAUAAAUAUUAUAGACCUCUAUCCUGGGAACCUCCAUAUGCUGUGGGUGCAGCCCUAGAAAAGACAAAAAAAAAGAGUUUAGAUUUAUUUGUUUUGUAAUUUUUUAUGCUCUUUUAAAAAUUGAAGUAUAUAGUUCAUUAACAGUCUUUUCUUAGUUUCAGUAUAGUGAUUCAAUAUUUUUACAGACUAUCUUCCAUUGUAGGUUAUUACAAAAUAAUAACUAUAUUUCCCUGUGCUGUGCAAUAUAUCUUUGUUGCUUAUCAGUUGUAUACAUAGUACUAUGUAUCAUGCCCUCCCCUUCCCUUUAUGUUCUUAAAAUAACAUAAACCAUUCAGAUUAAGUACUUUCCUGACCUUCUUUUAGGUUUAUUACAGCAAGCAAAUGUCUAUUAAUAAUUAUUCACUUUACAGUCCAUAUAUUUGUAUUUCCAUUAUUAGAAUAUGGAAAUAUUCCAUUACUAUACUGUGCUACAGAAUAUACAGCUUGAAUGAUACUCAAAAUUAUUUCCAUUAUUGUUUAGAUCCUUACCCAGCUUGAUGCCAUAACUAGUAUUUGAUACCAUACAUAUUUUUAUUCCUACACAAAUAACUGUGACUUAACACCUAACCCAUUAGCUAUUCAGUCUUCUUGUGGAUUUUGUUGUCAUGGCAAAAAAGCUAUGUGAAAUUAUUAACAAUUUUGGCUACAGUCUCUUUUGGAAUGUUUGUUGUCCUUAGAGACUCACAGCAGGCAAAAAAAAUCACAGUCCCCUUCAGCAACCUGUGCUUUCCUGAAAUAUUGGCUUUGACAAGCCUGCAGGGGUGAGAAAUAAUUUUGUGCAUGAGGGUUUGCACUUCAUGGGUGUCUUUCUGAGUUUAUUACCAAGAGGAAAUGGAAAGAAAGCCAUUCUCACCCUUACUUUAAACCACAUAGUUACAUGACUGUAGUGCUGAAUGAUUCACUUAGCUUUGGGGAAAGUCUAUACUGAGCCCUUACUUAGAUAAAAACCAGUACCUGGCACUAAUCUGAUUGAGUAUAUUGGUAUAAAUAUUACUAACCCUGCUAAUUGACUACUGUGUCUUUCCAGAACUUUUAAUGAUCUCUGACAUCUUAUUUCCCUUGUUUUGGCCUAUCAAAUUACAUCCACGUUAUGAGAGGAAAUUCUCUCUGAUGCCAACAUCUGCUUUCUUGACCUUAGAUGGGCUGCAUCUUAUAAGGCUACGUCUUUCUCCUCUUCAGAAAACACCUUUUCUACAUAGUUGUUCAGUAUUUAGGAAGAGCUCUUUUUAGAGGGAAUCUGCAAGCUAUCUUAAUAUUUGCAAACACCUUCAUGCAGUCUUUUGAAAAAGAUUACCAAGGGGAAAAUAAAAUAAGUAAAAGGGGAAAAUACGUAUUUAAUAUAUGUUUAAGUAUAAAUAAAUGCAUAUUUUUUCCUAAAGACAACAAGCAAAUGAUACUUGCUAUACUGUGCUAUGGAAUAUACAGGUUGAAAGAUACUCAAAUGAUCUGGCAAAUACUUUGAAACAGUGAGCUGCCUAAGCUUAAAGCAGACAGAAUAUUUGAAGUAGACCACAAAUUGAAAUGUACCAGAAAUCUCCUAUCAAUUGGGCCUAUGUUCACUCUUAUAAUAAAGAGGCUUUUGGAGUUUAUAUGCCACAGUCUAAUAGGUGACUGUUUAAUGGGAUUUACAUUCACUCAAACAAAAUUAGCCUGGUAAAAGACAAUGCAACAUGCUGUAAUGUAAAUAGGACUGACGGCAGAAUUAAAUGUUUGUGGAAACAGGGCAGCAGAUCUAUCAAGAGCUAAUUAGACAGAGAGUUCAGAGGCAGGCUUGGAAGUAAACAGUAUCAACAAAGAAAGAAGGAGAGCAAGAAUGGAGGAAAGAAAGACCUUUUGUGCAGGGAAGAAAAGGAACUAUACAAAAGUUAUUUAAUUAGAAACUCAGAUGGAGUCUCUCAUGAGAAAAACUCAUAUUGUUUUCUGAACCUGUUGAUAAUAUUAAGUUGAAUAGUAACUUUGAUAAAUUAUUGUGUGCCUAAGUAGUUCUUUGUUGUAUUUGGUAUUUGAAUAUUUGGCUUUAGUAGCAUUCUAUUCACAUGGUAACUUUCCUAGUUAUCCUCACUUUAUCC
rnacentral:lncRNA from 1 species